rnacentral:lncRNA from 1 species
GCGGAUACCGGAUACCAAUAGAUGGAUUUACACCAAUCUCCUAAAACAGAAAUGGAUAUCAGAGGCCACUCAAUGGACUUACACUAAUCUCCUCAACAAAGAAAAAAAUGAAAGAAAGUGGAUACCGGAUGCCAAUCUGUCUGGACUUAUACCAAUCUCCAACAAAGGGAGCAAACACUUGGAUGUCAGAUGCCAAUCUAUCUGGGCUUACUCUAAUCUCCAACAUAUGAUCAUAGGAAU